rnacentral:rRNA from 1 species
AUACGGAGGAUGCGAGCGUUAUCCGGAUUUACUGGGAGUAAAGGGCGUGUAGGCGGUCUUGCAAGUCAGAAGUGAAAUUCCUGAGCUCAACUCGGGCGCUGCUUCUGAAACUGCAGGACUUGAGUGCUGGAGGGGAUAGCGGAAUUCCUAGUGGAGCGGUAAAAUGCGCAGAUAUUAGGAAGAACACCGGGGGCUAAGGCGGCUAUCUGGUCAGUAACUGACGCUGAGGCGCGGAAGCGUGUGGAGCAAACAGGAUUAGAUACCCGGGUAGUCCACGCCGUAAACGAUGAAUACUAGGUGUAGGGGGUAUCGACUCCCUCUGUGCCGCAGUUAACACAAUAAGUAUUCCGCCUGGGGAGUACGGCCGCAAGGUUGAAACUCAAAGGAAUUGACGGGG